AUACCUUUCUCGGCCUUUUGGCUAAGAUCAAGUGUAGUAUCUGUUCUUAUCAGUUUAAUAUCUGAUAUGUGGGCCAUCGGCUCACACGAUAUUAACUCAAUUUUUUAAGGGGGAAGGCCCAUCAGGAUAGCUUGCUAUCCGGGUCUUCACGCGUCGCUUUGGCUUUGCACUACAGCCAUAGCCUGGCGCACCCCAC
rfam:Nicotiana sylvestris Nsyl_contig184093, whole genome shotgun sequence.